AAAAAAAAAUCAUUUUUUUUUCUUUUUGUAAAAUUCUCUCCUAGAGCUAUUUACCAGAAAAUAACUGAAUUGGACUCACCUCUUGGACUAGAUUAUUAUUAUUAUUAUUAUUAUUAUUUUGCCUGUCCUGCAUCCUUCGCUUUCAUUAGUUUGACCUAAGAAGAUACCCUCAACACUCAUUUACAUAAAAUUAUAAUUUUAGACUAUUUCUUGGGAAACCUACCUAAGAGAAGUACCUGCUAUGUGCCAGAUGCCAUACUAUGUGUUUUACAUAGAUCGUGUGAGAUAAUUCUUAUAGUGCUCUUUCGGGAAAGCUAUCACUCUGAUUUUCUAGAUGAGAAAGGUAAGCCUUAUAUAGUUUGUUAAAUGUCUCCAAAGCACACAUCCUUUCUAAUAUGUCAUUCUAUGUCCAAAGAUGAAAGGAACAUUAAAAAAUCACUUAGUCCGUUCCUCUGUCUUUUGGCGUGGCUUUAUAUAAAAUAUUCAGGGGAAUUGAUUAUCCUUCCUACUUUAAAUGGGUGGAGCUUUUUAAUGAUGAAAGUAAAUCAGUUUAAGUAAAGGUGACAGCCAUUUAAAGAUGUGCUGUGAGUGAAAUAUUAUACUUUGUUCUGAAAAAGAUGAUUUUGGUUUUCUGCAGGAUCCUAGUUCUUUGUCAAGACUGUCAUUGACGUGUCUGACUUUUUCUGUUAAAUAUUACCGUCAAGUUCAAAUACCGUGAUUUACCUCAUGGUUAAGAAGAAACAGUAAUUGUACAUCUUCUGGAGAAUGAUUGUGGUAAAAUUAGACACUGCUCUGAAUAUUUAAUCUGAUCGGCAUUUUAGAGUAAAAACGAGUUUUUUCUCAGACUUUUAAGUUAGUAAAAAGAAAUAAAACAUUCUUUGCAGUUAUUGUUUAAAUUUUUUAAACAAAGACUAUCCAAGAGGCAAAAAUAAUAGAGAUUUUAUGCCACCUUUAUGUAGGAAUUUGUAUUUAAAAAUGACAAAUAUAUGCACUGACUUACAAAUUUGUUGAAUGAAAAGUUGCUUGCUUUAUGACAAUAUUGAUAUGAAAUAUCAGUAUUGAUGAUAUAUCUAAACAUUUUGUCAGUAUUCUUUUUGUUUUACCUCUCAGCCCUAGGAUGUUCCAUGAUUUCUUAGAGGUUAUGAAUAUGCCAAAUCUUUCUUUAAAACAAUUUUUAUUAGGUACAGAAAUAAAAUUAUAGGUACACAUUUUGUUUAUUUUAUAUGUCAUUUGGAAAUAUAAUGAUUAAAAUCACUUUUCUAGUAAUGAUUGAAUGAGAUAUUGUAUUUCUUAAUCAUAGGCCAACUUAUCCUCUAAUUUUUACUAUAUUACUAAUUUUUUCUAGUACUCCCUAGUCAACCAAAAGCCAAGGGAUUAGAUAGGGGCAGUUUUAGCCACAAAUGAAUUUAGCACACCUGGUUUCCAUUUUUAGUAUCCUACAAUCAAUGGUACAUAGUUAAAACUCAAUUAAUUGGCUAAAAUUAAUUUUUUUAAUCAAAUGCUGUAAUUGGUUGGCUUUUCUAUGUUUUAUUUGUCUUAAAGUUAACUUGGGGAAAGUGAGUGUAUUCUGAAAGUGUGAAAUACACAAGGGUUUCUAAGAAAAUGAAUUUCAUUGCUAGUAUUAUUUGCCUUUACAUACCAGGAACUUAUAUUCUUCAACGGUAUAUCAUGAGAAUUAUUUUUAAAAAUAAUCUCGGGGAGUUCCUUUCAUGGCUUAGCAGUUAACGAACCUGACUAGGAUCCGUCAGAAUGGGGGCUCAAUCCCUGGCCUUAGUCAGUGAGUUAAGGAUCUGGCAUUGUUGUGAACUGUUGUGUAGGUCACUGACAUAGCUCAGAUGUAGUGCUGUUGGGCUGUGGCUUAGCCUGGCAGCUACAGCUCCGAUUCGACCCCUAGCCUGGGAACCUCUAUAUGCUGUAGGUGCAGCCCUAAAAAGACAAUAAAUAAAUGAAUAAAUAAAUAAAUAAAAAUAAAAAUAAUCUUACUUGUAGUUCUUAAUAAUAAUUUUAAUAACAGUUACUGUAAUAUAGUUAUUAUUUUAAAUGUUAACUUUUUUAAAUAAAAGACUAUAUUUGUUUAAAAAAUAAUUCCAUAAAGUCAAAAUUUUGGCUCAUAGUGAGUUUGUCAUCUCAGUUGAUUUUUACAACUUUCGAAAAUGGGAGAGAUCCUAUUAUGUUUCUAAACCCAAAAUAAAAUUCGAAGUGUGUUGGUUUAUCGAAGGUCACAUUGGUUGUGAGAAAGUCAAGAUUGGUGUUUUUAAUGCUUUACCUGUGCCAAACAAUGUAGAAAGUCUGUUAUAAGGCAGCAAUUCUAUUAUUUUUAUUUCUUAGUGAAUUUUAUUGUCCAAUCAAAAAAUAAAGUCAGUUGAAUAGAAGUUAGCUCUUCUUUUUCUAUACUUUGCCUGUGGUUUCUCAUUUUCUUGUCUCUUCAUAUUUGGCAUUUAUUACCAAAGCACCUUCCAAAAUGAGUUUGUAAUGUAAAUUCUAGUGGUCCUUGGCAUGAUCACUUUCAGAUUGAGUAUUGUAUUAAAUUUUAUUUUAUUUUUAUUUUUCAAUCACUGCACCACAUUUUGAUUUACCAUCCCCUUCAACCUAAGUUGAGCUGAGUUGCUCCUUUGCUGAAUGUCAGAUUGCUGUUCUAAUGUGGCACCUAAUCCUUACAGCACCUCAGUUCUUAGUUUAUCUGUAAUCUCUCAACACAUUCUAUUAAUUAAAUGACCAAAAAAAAAAAAAA
rnacentral:lncRNA from 1 species